rnacentral:lncRNA from 1 species
AAUAAUUUUAAAGCGGGUCGUUCGGUGCGAAUUCGUGAUGAAGAGCCAAGGCUUAUUGAUGUUGAUCCAAAUCACGAAACAGACGAAGACUCUGGCGAUGAGGAAAGACAUAUAUUACCAGAAAUUAAUUCUGACACCGAAGAAGACUCAUCGGAUGAUUCCGAUUACGAGCCUUAGUUUUAAUUUAGAGGACGAAAUCCAUUAAUUUGCAUUGUAUAACUAAUUAAAGACCUUUUCCUUUAUAGUUUACACAUGUUGAAUUCAUAUUUCAGUUAUUUUAUAUGAAUUUUGGUGAUACAUGAUGAACAGGAAAUUUAAGUAUGGUUUACUAAUAUCGUCUGUUUUUUUAAUGUAUUUUUUCAUUUAGCCGACGAAAUACACCAUAUUUCGUCGGCUAAACCCAUAUUAGCCGACGAAAUACACUAUAUUUCGUCGGCUAAAGUAUUUUAGCCGACGAAUUAUAGUGUAUUUCGUCGGCUAUAGUUAUUUUUAAUUUAAAUUUUUUAAUUUUAAUUACAUACUAUAGCCGACGAAAUACACUAUAAUUUGUCGGCUAAAAUACUUUAGCCGAUGAAUAACCUAAUAUUUCGUCGGCUAUAGUUAUUUUUAAUUUAAAUUUUUAAUUUUUAAUUACAUACUAUAGCCGACGAAAUACACUAUAAUUCGUCGGCUAAAAUACUAUAGCCGACGAAUAACCUAAUAUAUCGUCGGUUAUAGUUAUUUUUUAAUUUUUAAUUACAUACUAUAGCCGACGAAUACGUUAGGGUAUUCGUCGGCUAAACCCUAAAAUUUUUCUAUUACCUACUAUAGUGCUAUAUUCAGUGGUUAUUUUGCGUAAAAUUUUUAUACGACUUGUUGCGUGUCAUCGGUUUAAAACUAUUUUCAGUUGGAGGUCCGGCCAAAAUACGUAAUUUAGACGGUCGAACGACCUUUUCCAUGCGUUUAGGGGUUUGACUUACGAGAUUGACCGUCCGGAUCGAGCCCUUAUUCUUUUCGGAUCAAGUUGAAUUUUUUCCCAUACAUGUAUUUUAUCAUGAUGGUCAGAUCUGACGGUCGGAUGACUGUUUCUCAAGUUUGAUCAUCACAAUCACAACAGGCAUACUAAUGUUGUAUAACUUGUUUACCUAGUGUUAUGUAAAUGUUCCGUUUCAAAAACAAACUAUACGUAAAACCUUCAAACGGCAAAAAGUCAUGAAAUAAGAUAUGACGAGAAUGUUGAAAUACAUCCACGGUUGAAAAAUCACACUAUUCCGGUAAAUA